rnacentral:rRNA from 1 species
AUGAGUUCGAAAAUAAUAGUGAACACGUGUAAACGUAUACUAACGUGCAAACGUAAAAACAAUGAAGCAGGAGGUGCAUCGAAAAAAAGAAAAUGGAUGCUAGCAAAGAAGAUAAUGCAGAACAUGCAGGAAGAGGGAGAAUGCAUGAACAUACGAUGCAGCGCGCACGGCAAGCAACAAUUCUGCUUACCCAAACAUCAUGGACACAGGUGCUCGAACAAUCAGCGCAAACAACAGCUUGCCCAGUGGUGGAACAAAUGCAAGCACAUGAGCUGGGAGCCUUGGAGAGCAAACACUAAGCGAACCUGCAACUCCGGAAUCUGCUGGGAUUGA